UCAUUGACACUUUCCAGUAGACACAGGCUCCUCUGAGGGUGCGUGUAGCAUGAAGUAUCUAUGGUUCUGUGUUCCUCUUCCCUUUCUGCCUGCAGGCAAGAGAAGGAAAGAGGGAGCACGUAGGGAUCACUAAGGACAAUCCAGGCAGCCGACUCUGAGAGUCCAACUAACAGAUGUGCUAACCGUGCGUCCUGGUAAGUUUUAGAAAAUGAAGAUGCCACCAAAUUCUCCAGCUAUGACCUUUGUAGAACAGACCAGCAAGAAAUCUGCUUUCAGAUUCUUCUGGGGACAGCAGGAAUGAGGAAGAGGGGAGGGUAUCUCCUCUCCAGGUACCUGCUGAUGCUGGACCUCUCCGGCUGUGCCAGGAGCAUGCAGGAAAAGCAGAGUCCUGCACAGGCACUUAAAGGAUUGGUCAGCAGCCAGGAAGCCUGGGUUCUAGAAUCUGACUUCAGCAACUGAGAUGUCUAAUGUGGAUCUACAUACCAGCUUUGGAUGCGUGGAUUCAGAUUGAACUUAGGGUAUCUUCCAUGCUAAGCAAGUGUUUGGCCACUGAAUACACCUCCAGCCAACAAGCACAUCCUGGAUAGAUGGAUGAGUAGAUGAGUAUGGAGUGGAUCCAAUACUGGACAGCAAACCCGAGUCCUCGUGUGUGAGCCUCCUCCAUUUCCUAAAGCCCUUGCCCUCAAGAGUACAUGGGCCUUGUAAUAGUCUUUCUUUUGGGGAGGGGAGGUGUUUGAGACAGGAUUUCUCUACAUAGCCUUGGACACCCUAGAGCUUGUUCUGUAGACUAGGCUGGCCUUGAACUCACAGAGAUCUGCUUGCCUCUGCCUCCCAAGUGCUGGAAUUAAAGGCAUGUGGCACCACCACCAUC